GCCUUCGUGGUGUAGUAGUCAGCACGCUCGGCGCAUAAUCCAGAGGUCCAUAGUUUGAAUCCUGGCGAAGGCA
rnacentral:tRNA from 1 species